ensembl:lncRNA
GGACAAUGGCUGGUACACACAGACUGCAUGAGAGACUGCAAGAGAAAUGAGACAAUUACUGCUUUUCAUAAUGAAAACCAUAACAGACUUGACUCCAAGAGGGGGGACCAUUCAUCACAUGUUUCACAAUAUUCACACACACUUUUGUCUUAAUAUUUUAUGUUUAGAUGUGUAACUAUAUUCGGUCGGGGCUUUGCCAUACAUUCAUAUUGAGUGCCUGUAAAUAAUGGUUUCACAAAGAGGACCCUGACUGGAAAAAGCCAAUUCAUGACAGCACUCGAGGAAAAAAUCUACUGUAUUGCGAUUAACUAAAGGCAUAUUAGGCAACAUAAUCCCCCAAAAUGCUGGAUCAAUAUAAAUUCUAUGACUUUAUUAUUUAAAGAGCUAAAUCAAAGAUGAAAGUAUUAAAAUGCCUUUGGUGCAAGCUUAAAAUCAUGAGGAAUACAUAGGCUAUAUGUUGUUUUAAAUGUUUUUAUUAAGAUGCAUUUUAUUUUAUUUCCUUUUUUUGUCAAUAAGAGUAGAUAUUAGAUUUUUAUAUCACAUAACUUAAGUUGACAUUUUACCUGAAACUGCACAGAGCCGAUUUUUCUGAAGUUUCAAAAGAAAAAAAAGCAUGGAGAAUGACAAAGGGAUGCGCUAUGAAAAUGUCUUUUGUACAAUGUUUACACUGAACCAAUAAUCGGAGUUGUACAAUAGCGCAUUGUUCUGCAUGAGCUCCCUAGACCAGAAUAAAACCCCUCUUCUCUCACAAAAGAUGAACAAAACAUUCCUACUUUAGAAAAAAACUUGUAAUGUGUCACUUUUAAUAUAUCUGCAAGAUUUUUAUUAAGUGGAUCUGUCUAUAACAUUUAGUUCUGUAUCUGGUAUGUUUCUCUCAUUUUACCUGUGUUUUAACAUGUUUGUGCCUUGAUAUCUGCGUUUACACUCGUUCUUUAGACAUGCUAUGUUCAUAUAGUGUGAAUUAGGGCUAUUUCUACUCCACUUGAGUUCACAUCAUUCACACGAGUUUGAAAAGCACCGCAGAAGCAGCACAGUGACAACAAAUAGAUGGCAAUAGUGCAAUGAUGGUCGAACUGAAAUUCACUUUGUUCAUUGUAAAUAAACACCUGAUUGCAUAAUGUGUAGUGUCUGUUACUUUUGAAAUUUACAAAAGUUUUUUAUUUUAUUUUUCUUAAAAUUGCA